CGGCGGCAAGGGGGGCGGGGGCGCCCAGGUUUCUCCCUCCAUCUCUCUCUCACUGCCGCCGCCGUGGCCCAGGUCCUCCCUGGCGUGUUCUUCUCAUGUCCCUGUGAGAGAUACCUCUUGCAGCUGCUGGUCCAGAUAAGAGAAAAGAUGCAAGUUUAGGUGGACAUCUGCCUAGAGUUCUCCAUCCACGACAUACAAGAUACAUCAGUCGAAAGACCUGGUUAGUUUUAUGCUCUCUUUCUUGUGUUUGUUCAUCUCCAAUUCUAGGUUCAGAUUAGUACUCCACUAGCUUGUGCGAGUUGCUACGCUGGGACAUGGAAGACCAUCAGGAAAAUCAGCGCAGUCCAGCUGUGGCUAUGAUGCACAUCUCUUGGCAAAAUUCGAGGACUUAAAUCUCGGGGAGCAUAAGUGUCUCACAGGGAAGUUUUAGGCACAAGAUGUUCAAGGUACUGUACAGUUUUUCUUACACAUUCAGAUUUUAUUGGUGAGAGACAUGCUUAUGACAAUCCGUCCUAUUUAAAGAGAUUUCAUUUGAUUAUUUAUCUGCUCUUAUGUAAUUAGAGUGCAAGGAUAAUUUACUUUCAGCAUGUUUAGCCCAUGAGCGACCAGCGUUUUCCAAUGUUGGUUCUUAUGAGAUAUGGUAUCAGUACUCACCGUGAUGUGAAGAACCGUAAAAUUGUUUGUUACUGAUGUAUGCUUCCGUUUUUACCAUUCAUGUUGGUCGUCUAAUGAGUUGAUUAUAAGGCAGUCAGGUUAGGUGUGCAUGGCUUUAACUAAAUUCUUUUGCAAUGUGCAUAUAUUUCGUUAGGAACAUCAACCUUCAUAAAAUUUGUUUCUACUUACCUAUGGUUGUGUUCUCUAUUAUAAUAUUUAACCUGCGGUAUCAUAGGUGUCACAUUUGUUUGUUUUUUCUCCCAAAUUUUAUGCAGGCUGCAAUUUUAAUUGAGGAUGGACUAUACAUUAGAAAUCACUAAGAUGAAUACUUCUCCCACUGUAUUGCUAAAAGAACAUGCCUAAUUAACAAAGAAAAUGCUAAAUAGACAACUGCAACUCAUGUGUAUUUAUUUCUUCAUGUUCCUUGACAGAGUAUUCUGAAAGAUGUUCUUUAUCAAUCCAGAGUAUUCUGAAACAUGUUUCCGUUUAAGAACGGGAUUGCCAUGGCAGGGCAUCUGAGAUUUAGUAUGGUUUGAGUCUAAAUUACAGCUAAAGAAAUAAGGACGGCUUGCUACUUUCAAUUUUUUGUUUGGUUCAUCCAAAUCCCAUCAUGUUAGAUAAGUACUGGAGAACAUGCUUUCCAAAGCAAAUUUAUUAUCUAUCCUUUCUCUAUCAAUUUUAUUUUUAAGUUUCGAUUUCUGUUUGCUUGACCCAAAUUCCUACAGAUGCACGAUUUCAUGAUAGUGCGCUUUUUAAAUCCUCGCCACCUCCAUGUACCUGGGUUGGACGAAUUACUUGCACUACUCGCUUUCAUAGGUUUGUUUAUUAUUUUGUUCCUGAAAUAUCUCAUUUUUUCUGUUUUGAUGCUAAAGCCUACAAGAUAUGUCAUCAACGAAUAUUAUUUUUUGCAGUAUAGAGGAAAGUAUAACUUAUUCUCAAAUACCUUGAUUUAGGGCUUAUAUUCUGUAAGAAACGAAUCUUGAGACAAAUAGAUUCUUACUGGAAAUAGGUGCUUCCGGGUGUAUUAAUUCCAUGUUUCUAAAAAAAAAAUUCAUUGUUGCCUCCAAAUGAAGCAUGAUACUCUGCGUACUAUGUAUGCUUGAAGAAUUUACUCUAAGGUUUAUACUUAAACCCAAACAUUCCUGAACAGUGAGUUCUUAACGGAGAUACAUUUUACAUUUCUUUAAGGGCAAAAAGAUUGGAUGGUUCAGACUCUUUUGUUAUGAUAUUUUCUUUUUACCAAUUUUGCUACCCUGUAUGAAUUAAGCGAAAUUACCAUCAAGUCUUAGAACGGCUAUGGAGUAUGUUGGUGGUGGUGACUGAAUUCCCAAGUUUUCUUCCUUUGCCAUCAUGCCUCUGUUAUGAAUACAGUUUUCAUGAUAGUUAAAGCACACUGUUCAGAAGGGAUUAUGUAUGCAACCAUCAUACUGCUGACUACAUUGUGCAUCUCCCAUUUAUUAACUUCUAUCUGAGAAGUCCUUUUUCUGUUUUGUCUGCAUAUAUGAUAUACUGCUUAUAUUUACCUCUUGCUGGUUAAUUUCAAGAACACCUCGAUUGAGCAAUUGACAAUGUUACAUUGUGCAAGAGCUGGGAUCAUCCGCUUGCCACUUUCUUCCAAACGUAAAGAUGAAAAGGAUAUUUCAUUUCUAUUCUUACAUGUCAAGCUAAUAAGGUGAAGUAGUAAUACAUAAUCUUUUCACGGGAAAUAAUAUUUUCUUGAAAAGAUAACUUUUUUAGUCAUUGCUUUGCAUCCGUACUAGCAUUAGGGUAUUGCGUUGUUGCAGAUGAUGGGUGUAUUUGGUAUCUAUCGAUAUUAAUAUAUUCCCUUUAUCGAAUAAUUGCUUUGCAAUAGAUGUCCAAUUUUUGUACUUCCUCCCUUAAUUUUUGUAGGGCAUUGAUGUGUUGAAACAGUAGUAUAUUGAGCUUCAUGAGUGAUUUAUCCACAGCUUUACCAGAAUACUCAUAUUAUUUAGUAGUUAUAUUUUUAUAUGCCAGGAUCAUUAUUUAUUAUCAGAAUUGGUUCUGCCUUUGGAAUUAGCCUGUUGAAGUUUUUCCAUAGUAUAUAAUCUUUCUUUCAUUAGUUCAGUAGGCAUGAAUAAGAUUAUCGUAUAGACUGUAACAAUCAAGCUCUCCUUAGAAGUGUGUUAUCACAUACUUCUCUUAAAAUAGCUUAUGAAGCUUCAUUUUGAGGGCAUGAGGGUCCAAUAUCUCCUUUUUCUCAUUAUCUUCCAAUUUGUAUUAUAUGUGAUCCGAAUUAUUUAUGUAGAAUAUGGUUUACGGUAAAUUUAGAGAGAUUCAUACAUAGAUUUGCAGGCCAAACCCUGAAGAACUGGUAGUAGUUUUUCCUUCGGCAAGCAUGAAGAGGAGAAAUGGAAUUACGAAUAUGCAAAGGGAAGCGAUGUAUUUGCACAGUACAUUCUUUUUCUCAUCAACUCUAUAUUAUACAUACAUAUGAUGCUUGCUUUCAGGUUCCUUGCACAUUCCACAUUAAUUAAGUAACCGAGAUGCCAAAUUAUUUUAUAGUUCGUCGAAAGUAAAAUUUUCCAAUUCAGUUGUGCUAGCUCCCAUAUGAUAUCAUGUUACUCUGUCAGGCUGCCAUGUGUUGGCAAUGUUUAGCUAAACAAAUUAGUAAUAGUCUUAUUUGUUUGCUACAAAAUAAAUUAGCUAUAGUCCUCUUCCAAUGUCACAUGUUUCACCAAGAUAGAGUUCUUUGAGUGUCACAGAAUUUUCUGUUAUAUAUAAAUGCUAGCUCCCAUAUGAUAUUGUGUUUCUCUAUCAGGCUGCCAUGAGUUGGCAAUGUUUAGCUAAACAAAUUAGCAAUAGUACUCUUUGAGUGCUACAAAAUAAAUCGGCAAUAGUCCUCUUCCAGUGUCACAUGUUUCACUAAGGAGAGUUCUUUGAGUGCCACACAAUUUUCUGUUCUAUUAUGUACAUUACACCCUUCCAUGCAUAAUAAGUGUAUUAGUUUAGUUUAAAAAGGACCCAAGAAUAUCCUCUCAUGCACAGUAAUCUAUUCAGUGAAAGAUGACCAUGGAAAAGUGGUGUAUUUCUGCACGUUUAGAACACACGGUUUGCUGAUAUAUGGAAAUAGCUAUUCAGUGAAAGAUGACCAUGGAAAAGUGCUUAAUUUAGAUUUCUGGGUGUCAUUCCUUCUCAGGUUUGCUGGUUAUGCAGACCUGCUCUACUCUUAGCGCAUGGCCUGUAGUUGGCCUGUAGUUCAUGGUUAUUUGUAUGUAUCUGCCAACUAUGUUAGAAAUGGCAAGCCUACAAUAAAAGGAAAUUUGCAGGAUACACCAUGUAUGUUUUAAAAUAAUCAUGAUUUGAGAACAUAAAUACUUCUAUUAAUCAAUUCCCUGCUCAUAUCUUCGAGACUAUUGCUUUUUCUUUGUAGAAAUUUGAUGAUUUCUUUGUAUGAAAUAUGAUGAUAUGCCCACAAGCCCACAAACACCACUUUGGAUCACUUUGAACGCAUGAAUGGCAAACUAUAGGCAUCAUUAUUUGUUUGAAAAGAAUAUUUGAACAGAAAUUUAAUGGAGAACACUGCUUGGACCACCCACUUCAGUGAAUAGUAGAGGCCAAGGACCCAACAAGAGGAGCUAGAACAUGCCAAGCAUGGCACCGACGAGUCCGUCCGGUCUGAACUUGCAAGGGAUCUCUACAUUACGUGAGGCAGCGCUUGAGACGUUGCCUUCGGUUGUUUCCUUUCAAUCUUUUAGAUGUAUGCUAUGUACUGAAACUUACUAAGGGUGUACUAUUACAAUGUAAUUUCAUGCAUUUCUUAUGUUCAAUUUACUAUUACACCUCCGCAUCUCCGUCGUAGUUUGACAACGUAACAAAGCAUCCUUUGUUCUUCAAC